GCAUACAAAACAGAUGCUGAGGUGAGCAUAGAUUCCAGAGGAUGAAUGCCAGCCUGCUAUGCUAUAGGACAGAGGGGUGGUCUGUGAAACACUGGCCAUUCCGUGAAAGGCCAGCUUGCUUUCACAUCACAGGGCAGGCGGCGGCACAACAGAGGCUCACACUUGUCGCCUCCAGCCCUUGGAAGCUUCCUGUGGGGCAUGGGGCCAAGGGCUGGCAACAGAGCAUCCUGGGGUUUUGUUACAAGGCUAGGCUUUAAAAUACCUUUAAAAGUUUCAUGUCAUUUCCUCCCAUCUCGUGUCGAGGACUGCCGUGUUUCGGAAAAGGCGUGUUUCUGAGAGACAGAGCUCCAUCUAGUUGUGGGUGAGUGCCUGGCUCAGGAGCUGCCCCGUGGAACAAGCCCUGUCCCCAAGCUGCCCACCUGUGGCUGUGACUCCUUUUCUGAGGCUCCUGACUCCAUUCUUGCAGAUUCUGAUGGAUCAGGAACUUUUAAAUUCUACACAGAGAUGUUUAAAAAAAUGUGUAGUGAUUUAAGUCAUUUCCCAUCUGGUGCUUCUGAAUUUUUGCCUUCAGAGGAGAGAAGUGGUGGGCCCAGCCAUGCCUGCUCCUUUGUGUUGUCUUUCUGGUGAGGGAAACCCUGCGUGAGAGUCAGCACCUGUUUCUUCAGAGCUGCUGUCAAAAUAAUCACUGCUCCCCCCACGGCAGCCACAUGUGCAGCGCAGGGGCCCAGCAACCAUUGCAUGGGAGUGUCUGGCUCUGCCAGUGUACAGCGUACCUCUGGGUAGUCUGUGCUGCUGUGACAGAAACCAGGCCCUCGGGACGCCCUGUGACACGGGUGCUUCCCUGAGGCAGCAGCAGUGUGCAGCUCAGGGGUCCUCCGAGGUUGGCAGUGCCCAUGGGUGGCACAGGGGCCUUCUUGUGGGCAGCACUUGGUCUCAUGUUUACAGCUUGGAGGGAUUCACAUAGUUACUUCCUGAAAUUUCUGGAAUUAAAAAAAGAUUUCUAUUUGGUCAGAAAGCUGCUAGGAAUAUCAUGUAAUUAGAAAUUCAGUAUUUAUAGAUGUAGAUAUAUUAAACACUGCUAAGGAGAUAUGGUUACAAUCUGUAACAGGUUUUGCACUAUCAUAACGUUAUGGAAUUUUCCUGGAGGAUGUCAUUAGCUUCUGUUGGCACUUACUUGUGAGCUGUGUGUACACUGUGUUCAGGUUUCUGAAUCCUGUAGAGCACUCAUGUCUCUGACAGCGUCUUGCCAGGGCCGCCAGCUGUAUAUGCAGUGGGGCCGGCUGUCUUAGGGCUGACACAUAGACGUGUAUUGUUUACAAUGAGUUCCCCAACGUUGUGGGGAAGAACUUAAGUGGUUUUAAAGUGUUUUAUAAUGGUGAGGAAAUGAGGGUCGGGGCACGUGGUCCCUGAGGGAGGGUCUUCAGGGCAAGACCUAUGGCCCUGGGCAGGGACCGGUCUCCCCAGGGGUGGUGCCUUCCCAAGGGGAUGGUCAGUGCUCCUGCGACUGCCAGGCCAGCCCUUCUGCAGACUUCGUGGUGGGGGGCAGUUCCCUGGGACAGGAAGCUCCUCAGCCCCUUCCCUCCAGGGCAGGAACUGAGCCAGAAUGGGCGGGGCCGGCCUAGCUUCCAGGAAUGUUUUCUCUAUUAAAUGUACCUCUGUCUUUAAGCUGUGUCUCAUUUUCUCAUUGCUCGCAUGUCUUGCCUAGAAAAGCAUUUGGAAUUGCUUAUGUUCAGUUACAGAAAUAAAAUAUUUCCUGUUGUAAAAUCCCUGCA